UACGAAGGGGCUAGCGUUGCUCGGAAUCACUGGGCGUAAAGCGCACGUAGGCGGAUUGUUAAGUCAGGGGUGAAAUCCUGGAGCUCAACUCCAGAACUGCCUUUGAUACUGGCGAUCUCGAGUCCGGGAGAGGUGAGUGGAACUGCGAGUGUAGAGGUGAAAAUUCGUAGAUAUUCGCAAGAACACCAGUGGCGAAGGCGGCUCACUGGCCCGGUACUGACGCUGAGGUGCGAAAGCGUGGGAGCA
rnacentral:rRNA from 1 species